UCGAAACUUGCCCAAGGUUGCACCCGUCACGGUCUACUCGGGACACUGGGCGUCUCUGGAAGGAAGGACUGGCACAGGACGUAGCAGGGAACAGCUUCUCUAAGACGGAGCUGAAUCGAAGGGGACUUUUGUUCUUCUGUUUUGAAGGAAAAAAAGAAUAAAAUAUAAAACCCUUUGGUGGGGGUUGAUGCUCGGCGGAACUUGUAUGUGCCUUAAAAAGGGCACCUGAAGAACUCCCAGCAGCGCCGGUCCUCGUUAGUAUAGUGAAUCAAAUUCUUCCAAAAGUGCGGAAAUGUCCUUACUCGAGGAAAAUCAACUAAUAAGCGGCGGGAUUCGGUCUGGCGGGCGCCCACUGAGGACCUGGUUACACUCACGGUCCAGCCCAGGGUCACACGGUGAUGAGAAGACAAAGUUCUCGCGCUGCGGCGGUAUUUCCAUCUCCCGCGUGCCCUCAGCGCGUCUGUGAAGUGCUCGGUUUGGUCGGUGCUGUCCCCAGAAAGGACUGCCGCCUUUCAAGGCCAAGGCAUGCUCCUUCUGCCCCCAGAGAGUUCCAUCCUCUUGGAUCUUACCCAGGACCCAGGCUGGCCCUUAAAAAAAAGUUUAUGGAGUUGACACAGGAGGUCGGGGUCAGUGCCGUUGUGGACUCCUUCCUGAGUAGCUGUCAGCCUUCCCAGGCUCCUAGUCUUUCAUUUGUUUGUCUGGGGUCACCCCCCCACACACAUUCAUUCUGCAAAUAUUUACUGAAAACGUGUUCAGUGUCAGGCCCUGUUCUAGGCACUGGGGCUGCGGCAGGAACCAGAGUGGCCCAGAUCCUGCCUUACCGAGUUUAGGACACAGACAAUAAACAAAUGCUAUAAAAAGUC